GGGGUUGUGGCUCAGUAGUAGAGCACUUGUCUAGAACAUGGGAGGCCUGGGUUCAAUCCUCAGCACCA
rnacentral:tRNA from 1 species